rnacentral:misc_RNA from 1 species
AUCGUCGUCCCCUAUAUUCCUUUGCGGAUGCGGGACGGAAGCUGGUCUCCCGUGUGUUACCGCACGCGGUUGGCCUAAAUCCGAGCCAAGGACGCCUGGAGCGUCCCGACAUGCGGUGGUGAACAUGAUCCAUUUGAUAUUGUCGGUCGCUCCUGUCCGGAAGCUGUAGAUGACCCAAAGUCCUUUAAGCG